rnacentral:lncRNA from 1 species
CUAUGUGUGAUUUUGUAUUUGAAAGUAGAUGCUUGAUUCUACCACAAUUAAAAAAAGGAUAUGCUUGGAUUUGUCUGUAGUAUGUGGGUGUGGAGGAGUUCAUUUGAACACGGGCAUUUUUGUGUGUCCAGGACGUAUCAACAGCCUCCUUAGAGGUGUCAUAUGUGCAGGGAAUACUGAAGAGAGUGCAUUAGUCUACAUGUCUCUCUAUAUAUUUUUUCUUUUUGUGUGUGUCUGGUUUUCCUAGAUUUCUCUCUUGCAUGUUUGUGGGUAUGAGAGUCUGUUAGUAUUAAUAUGUGAAUGGGUGUGUGCUAUUUGUCUGGGGAGGAUGAUUUAGGCAAGGAUUUGAAAGUGUGCAUUUAGAAAUUGAGGGCAUCUCUGUGUUAUUAUGAGUGUAUGUGUGUUUGUGUGUGCAUUUUAGAGUGGUUGGUUAUCUGUGUGUAUUUGCAAGGAGAAGGGGAAUUCAGUGUGUUUCUGUGUUUGUGUGUUUGUUUGUGAAUGGUAUGUUUUGCAGAGGAGUGUACUUUUUAUGUUCGAAAGUUAGGCAAUCAUGUAAUUUAUCAUCCAAAUGGGGAUACAUUUGAGAAUGAAAUAUAUAUGUGUGUGAAAGGAUGUCUUUGAAUGUACUUUUAAAAAUGCAUUUAAUUUUGUGUGUGUUAUUGGUGUCAGGAAUUAAGAAAAAGAAGAGAAGUACAGGAGAUAUCAUUAAAUUAUAUAGUUCUCUCUUCGACUGUAGCCUUAUAACAGGGACAUUAAUAGAAUUAACAGGUAAGAACAGGUCAGCCCCAAAGAUGUGUGCGUGUGUGUGUGUGUGUGUGUGUGUGUGUUACCAGAUCAAUGAACUGAGAAAAGAGGUCAUACAUAUCUUGUGGCGACAAAAACCCAUAUGGUUAAAAAAAAAUCAGCACAUCGCGACUCAGGGAUAAGCCUGAGACACAUGGAGAGAACAUCCUGAUCAAUCUGGUCUUUGCUGCUACCCUGGUCAACAGCCUGAGCUGGAUACCUGGCUGACAAGUACCACCUUUUUCCUACACAGAUGACAACCCAGCCCAUGAGCACCAGGGGAUCGCUAGGAGGGCACUACGUAGCAAGAACUGGAAAAACCUCUGGAACGUGUGGAUGCAGAAACCCUAAGUGAUGGGGGCUUCAGAGACUGAAAAGUAGGUUUGUAAUUUUUCAUAGGAGCAUCUACAUUUGUCAGGGUCAUAGCUCAGCUAUCCAGGUGGCUUUGGUUUUGUGGCUCCACUUUCUCAACAUGAAACUCCAAUAGAGGAAGAAGGAAACAUGUGACCUGGAGAGUUGAAGUGGGUAUUGGAGACUGCUGCAUCAGCAGGGAAAUGCUUUAUAUCCUCAAAUGACAUGUGCUUCUCCUGACAGCUCAUUGACCAGAAUUAGCAACAUGGCCCUUCCUAACUAGAAGGGACCAGAAUGGAUAGUCCUUCUAUGUGUCCAGAAGGAGAGAAGGACCAGAUAUGUGUGAUCAUGUCUCCAUUAUGGGAGAAAAGAGAAUUGAAAAAGAAAGAAGAUCCACAUAGUGUCUGAGGAGCUGAGACAAAAGAAAAGUAAGUCAUCUCAUUGAGUCUCAGUUUCUUCAUCUCUCAAAGAAAGAUGAACAUACCCACUGCACUAAGGGUGUCAUGAAGAUUACAUUAGAAAAAUGCACAUGAUAUCUUUAAAUCUCUUUGCCAAUAGCAAGACAUUUUUAAAAAUGAAAUACUGUUUUAUGAUUGGUGGUUGUUUUACUAUGAAACCAUAAAAUGCUAGAUUUCAUGGGGGUAUACAAGACUUUCUCUGGUAUAGCCUUCCCUUUGGUACGAAAUUUUUUUUCCUAUUUUUUUAAAGCAACCCUAUUAGCUGAAGGUACAAGAAUUUUCAUUACAGAAGAUCCUAAAUGAGAGCAAUGAUCAGAAUUAGCUGGAAAGCCACACACAUGCACAACCUGAUUCAGAAGGAUCAGAGAAGGUUAUUUGCCCCCUUGCAGAUCUAGGGGGCCUGGGGCUUUUACAUGAGCCCCAAAGGAUGCACCAGAUAGAAAAUUGGCAGGAUGACUGGAAAUUUUCAAAAUGCACAGGUCAGUUGCAAAUAAUCUGAUGCUGUUUUUGGGAAACUGCAGGCUAAAAAUAGCCAUGGUUUUCCUGGAUGAGGCAUUAGUUUGAUGUUGGCCUUUGUAACCUGUAUGUUUUUGCCAUCUCUGCUCAGUUCCAAUCAUUUUUACUUCCUUUCACUUUGUGUACCUAUAAGAUUCAGAGUUGUAUUAGAAACAUUCAUACUUUCUUUCAUUGAUAUAUUUAUUCACAUAUCAUUUAUUCACUCAUUCAUUUAUCCAUAUAUCCUUUGCUUUCUUUCCAUGACUUCAUCAAGUUUCUUAUUUAGAGUAUAAACAUUUAUUGAUCACUUUGUUUUCUCUGGGCACUGUAUUAGGCACCAGAGAUUCUAAAGGUGGGGGGAAACAAACUAAACAACAACAACAGCAACAACAACAACAAAUCCUCACAAAAUAACAUGUGCAAUGUCGUGGGGGUGCAGACAAGCACUCAUAAUUACAACAAAUAAUGCAGAGUGCAGUAGGAGUUCAGAAUUUCAACUAGCUUGAGAGUAGAGUGGUACAAGAAGGUUUCUUAGAGGAAGUGGCAGUUGAAGUAAUUCCUGAAGGUAUUGUUCAAGUGGGGAGGGUGGGAAGGGCAUCCUAGGUAAAAGGAACAACAUUUAUGUUGUAAUGAAGCCAAGUUGAAAAGAAAGCCACGUGCAGGCAAGCAAAGCAUGUUUGCCAGAUCUGCAGUUAUUCUAGGAGGCUCUUGUUUAAUGUGUGCCUGAUAUUGUGGAUUUAAUCACUACCUCACAAAUUAUUCUUCAAGAUUCAACUUGAUCAUUUAAACACAGACUCUAACAGAGUUUCUGACUCACACUAGGCACUAGAAAAAUCUUAUUUCUGAACUCUUUGCUGUUGCGUUUUCCCCCUUACCAGUCCCACAGUGCCUUGCAGAAAGUAGCCAUUCAAUGAAGUUACCUCCAAUUUAAUCCUAUCCCUCUCCGCCCAGUCCCAGUUUAACUUCCUUUUCCACCUACAAAGACCCUGAGGGCCAGAAAGAGGGCAGCCUCUUCCCAAGGCCUCCUUGUCUUUUUCUGCUUGAGGAAAUAGCUUGUGGUGUCUCCUUGGCUGUCUGUUUCUCCGCCUCUGGGGAAUCUCCUCUCAUGUAAAUCCUGCAAUUAGAGGCUCUCACCCCCACCACCAGAGCUACAUCUGCCUCCCUAGAUAGGCACCCACUUGAUUAGGAAGAGAUAAUCACAGGGGCUGCUUCAGCCUACAGCUUGGUGAAGACAGGAAGAAAUUCUGAUUAAAUUUGUGGUUUCAAGAGAAGGGCUCCCCCUCUCUCAUCACAUACCAGCUUCCUGUCUGCCUAUACAUUUGGACUCAAGGCGCAAAAUUUUGAUUCGUCAUUUAUUUUUUCAAAAACCAUAGAAAUUAGGCAAUAAAUAGGAAUAUACCUCUUUGGUAGAUGAAGAAUGUGAGCUGUGAGAGAUGAAGCAUUUGACUUAGGUCAUAAUGUUGAUUGCCUAGCAGAGACUUUGGAUUCGAUCACUGAUUAGUUUUAUAUCCUCCAUAAGAGAAAGCAAGAGAAAGUAAGCAAAGCAUUUUUUUCCCUUGAGAUGAUCUAAUUUUGACUUCUGUAUGGGUGUGUGUUUGUACUUAUAUAUAUUAUUAAUUCAAAUUAUAUAUUCAACUUAACUUUUAGAAACAUUAGAAAUAUGUGCAGAAUGUAAGAAAUGCAUAAAGUAGAGGAAAGCCUAAGGAAGAAGCCAAAGUCAUUCAUUAUAUCCAGAGAUACUUCCUGGUUGAUAUAUGACGUGUGUAUGUGUCUAUAUAAAAUGUCUACAUAAUCAGAAUU